AUUAUAGUUGGUUCCUUGGUAUCUAUGGGGGAUAUUUCUACAAGCAUGGUAUGUUUAUUCGAUUGUCAUAAUUUCAGCUUCUUUGCAUUCAAGAGUUUUGUUAGAUUUACUAAGAGAACGAUGAAGCUUGUUGGUUUCCAUCAUAUUCAUCAGGGUUUUAAUUCUUCUAUGAGUGAGAUUUUUCUUAACACUUUUCUUGUUAUUAAUUGAUCAUGGAAUUAUUGUUUUGAAUUUUAGGGAUCUUAUUUGAUUAUAUUGGGGGUUGAUAUGUGAAGACUCUGUUCUUCCUUUUUAGUUAUAAUACCAUGUAGUUACCAUU